GGGUGUGUGGUCCAACUCGGUUAAGAUACCGCAUUGACAUUGCGGUGAUUUGAGGUUCAAAUCCUCUCGCACCCA
rnacentral:tRNA from 1 species